CCAGUGAUUUACAAACAGGAUUGCCAAGAGUGCCUCUAAUGAAGCCAGGUUAACUUGCAGACAAAAUUAAAACCCAGCUCCCUCCCAACACGGUCCGUUACUGGGCCCAGACCGCAGCAACCGCAACGCCCACUGCCACCUCUCCAACUGCGCAGCCGCACACUCUCCACGGCCCUCCGGCCCCCUCCCAUCUGCCGCAGUUAGGAAAGGCCGAGAAGUGCGGGCGGAGCCGCCCCCGCCCUCCGCAAAGCCAGCCCAAUGGCGGCCUCGCGGGCGCGUCACAGCGGGUGGAAGCCGGAUUCUCGCGACGCCACGACCGCGCCUGCGCCAACGGGGCGGGCGCUCUGCGGCCACAAAAUGGCGGCGGUGGAAUCAGCAGCAACAGAGCCGCGCGUGCCAAAUUCCCUUUUCCCUCCUCCUCCCAACUUCACCGUUCUUGGGGUCACUGCGGCCGCCCUCCAAAAGGCCCAGCCGCAUCGCCAGCAAAGUCAGGAAGAUCCCGGCCCACUACUCUACGGGUCCGGGAGAUGAAAACGUUAAGACUGGCAGGGAGGGGCGCACAACCGCUGUGUAAAAACGACCCUAACAGUGACCGCCCUUCCACCUCAGUACCCCUCAAACAGUAUGCCAAAAGGGAGACGUGCCCCAGCGCCCACCUCGAAUCAACUGCGCUCAUUAGACGCCGUCCUCCGCAAAGAGAGCAGCCCCAGCCGCUCACGAAUUGAGCGGCCAUGAAGAAGCCUCGAUCCGAGAAGGCUUGCCCUCAAAGUGAGCCACUCACCUACCGGACGGGGUCUUUAGCGGCUGAGACCCAGACAGGUCCGUAGUCUGCGACGGAGUCGUCGGCCUCCACGCAGACCAGGACUUAACUCGUCUACGCCUCUCCACAACUGACGCACUUAGCAGCUCUG